GCCCCCCCGAAGUCGGAAUUGCUAGUAAUCGCGUAACAGCAUGACGCGGUGACCACGUUCCCGGGCGUUGUACACACCGCCCGUCACACCAUGGGAGUUGGUUCUACCCGACGACGCUGCGCUAACCCUUCGGGGAGGCAGGCGGCCACGGUAGGAUCAGCGACUGGGGUAGAAGUCGUAACGGUUGAAGCCGUAAUCGAAUUUCAGUCGCCGACGAR
rnacentral:rRNA from 1 species